GAGGGUAUAGCUCAGUGGUAGAGCACAUACUUAGUAGCAUGCACGAGGUCCUGGGUUCAAUCCCCACUGCCUCCA
rnacentral:tRNA from 1 species